UUUGUCUACAUCAAAGCGGGCAAAUCACAUGUGAACGUUUUAAUUUUUUUGUAAAUAAAAAUAAUGUUUGCCCAGUUCAAACCUGGCGAAUAAAAACGAUUCUGAUAGCAGCUCAAGAUCAACUUAGCAGGAACACAUUUCAUGUGGUAAAGGUGAAAGGGACACUAACAACCCAACGCAGCCGAGGCUGUAGCAGCAGAGAAACGCAGAUCUUUGUCCUGCGUGUUGAUGCGCGUUCCACCUUCCCCCAGUGUCCCUGCUCAGUUACGUGGAUGGCCACGCCCACUUUCAUUCAACAGACGGACAUGAAAGAGGGAAUAACGAAAUAAACAUCUGGUUAACUUUGUAGGAACAUGGUUGUAGCUCUACAAUGACUUUAUGUGUUACAGGUGAAAGCAGUAAUAACUUAAUAAACGCAAUAUAAAAAACGUUUUCAAGUGUUUUCUGUUUAUAUUUUUUAUUGCACAUUUGUUAAAACUUGAUGAGUGUACUGUCAUCUUUUCUGUAAUUUUUGAUGACGUUACAGUGCAAACAAUAUUUGAACUAGUUUUUUUUGUAAAUAAACAAAGUUUCGCCACAUUUGAGAAGGAUCUAAAACUGUCUUAUUGUAUUAUUGAUGAUUAUAUCUUAUUGCUUCCUUCGGUGAGACCGUAACAAUGACACUCGUCCUUUCACGUUGUAAAUCCAAACACAUAGCGGUUGAACAUUGUAACAGUGGAUGUCACUCAUAGACUCAUAGGAACUGUGCAGCCUUGCAGACAGGAGCAGGGUCAGCAAGCCCACGCAACCCACCACCUAGAGUGCGUCAGUGAUGGCCCUCUUUACCUAACAAAGGCAGCUGUUCACAGAUGAUUCAGGGUCUCAGCUAGCCGAGCAGAUCAUUUGACCACCUUCUAGUGGGAAUGGGUAUAUUUAGAAAACCCAGUAGUUCUAGUGUUAACCCUAGCAGGGGGCGCUGUUUGCUCAGGUCUACAUUAUACUGCACCGUGUUAUGGGAAAAGUGUUUUUUUUUUCUUAUUCUAUGCAGUUAUUGUAUGAUUUAUGAGGUAUCUUCUGCAAUCAAUAUCUUUUGUUUUUAUUAGUUCUGUUUUAUGUAUUUGACAUUUCACCUAGAAUGUUCAAUUAUUUGUUAACUCACAACUGCAUCGUUCUUAGACAACAGAUGCUAUUACCUGCAAGAAUUUUCUGUUUUCAGUGACAGUGCUGCUUUUGCUUUGUUCACAGUUCAUGCCUAUGG
rnacentral:lncRNA from 1 species